UCGAGGGUGAGCAUGGAAGAGGAAGAAAAGAGCAAUGGGCAUGUGAACAUGGAGGAAGGCCUGUGAGGUGGAAAUCUAUGUUGGGUCUUCCUGAUGCCUCCCAUGCCUAUCGUUCUUAGGUGCUCCUUCCUCUUCCUUUUGGAU
rnacentral:pre_miRNA from 1 species